UACGGGGGGGGCAAGCGUUGUUCGGAAUUACUGGGCGUAAAGGGCUCGUAGGUGGCCAACUAAGUCAGACGUGAAAUCCCUCGGCUUAACCGGGGAACUGCGUCUGAUACUGGAUGGCUUGAGUUUGGGAGAGGGACGCGGAAUUCCAGGUGUAGCGGUGAAAUGCGUAGAUAUCUGGAGGAACACCGGUGGCGAAGGCGGCUUCUUGGGCCAUUUCUGACGCUGAGGCGCGAAAGCUAGGGGAGCGAACGGG
rnacentral:rRNA from 1 species